UGGGCCCCUCCCAAGAGCCAGUGCCUAACUGGGCUCUUAUAAAAGGUUCUCUGGCUGGACACUGCUCAAUCCACUGCUUAGCAGGUGGCCCACUCCAGCUGGAAAACUGAGUGAGUCUUCCAACGAAGCCAGGGUCUGGUUCUCCGUGACCAUGUCCUCUCAGCAGAGCGCCAAAGGCUCUUCUCAGGGCCCCACCCCUUGUCCCGCCCCGACGCCCGCCCCGGCGCCCGACACCUCCUCCUGCAGCUCUGGGUGCUGCGGGAACGGCUGCUGCGGCUCAAGCAGGGCCUCUGGCUGCUGCGGGGACUGUGGCUGCGGCGGCUCCAGCUCCGUCGGUUGCUGCUGCUUCCCCAGGAGGCGCCGCCGGCAGGGUAGACGUGGCUGCGGCUGCUGCGGCUGCUGCGGAGGCAGCAGCCAGAGGUCCCAAUACUCCAGCUCCUCCGGCUGCUGCGGAUGCUGAGGCCACUUCCAUACCCUCGCGAGAGCUGCUCCCACCCCCGCGCCUGUGCCCCUCCGUACCGCGCUCCCCUGCGAGGCGGGCCCUCAGAGUUUGCCUCCCUGCAAAGCUAACUGCUCUUGGACACCCACUCUGUAUUUAGCCUCACAAAGCUCCCUGACCCACGUGUGCUUUUUCUCCUUGGGAACCUGAAAGCCGUGGGUGGACUUUGCUGUCUGCGUGGGCUUGCACACAGUUGGCGCUCAAUAAAUGCUUACUGAUUUGAUUGUUGUUUGAAGACAUGUCAUAAUAAAGCUUCUACCUCCUGAGAACACUCCCUUUGUUAUUUGUUCUUUCGUUUGUGUGUUUAUCAUCAUGUUCUGUUACUCCAUCCUCUGGCUUGGCAGAUUUGUAAAUGGUGGGAAACUGAAAUUCAUGCCUGCGUAAGAGUGGCUUUCUGGUACUUAAUCUUGAUAGCAGGAGCCAGGCAGUGUUCUGAGGUCUUUAUGGGACAUGGAUCAUCUCACAGUGACUCGAAGAGGUAGGUGCUGUUAGCCCCAUUUUACAGAAGAGAAACUGAGGUCAAGGAGCUGGUUGAAAGUCAUUCAGCCAAUGCAUGAUGGACAAACCAGGACUUAUGCUCCUAACUGCUCUGCUUGGUCCUGGAAAGCCUUCCAGAGCCUUGCUCCAUGGAGAUGCUCACUCUCCUAUCCAUCAGGCACAGGUAGCUGUGGGGCAAAGGUUUGGAUCUGCAGUUCUCAAGGGGAUUUGGAAUCAGAUGAGCUGAGACUUAACUUUUGGUACAGAGGAUCACUAGCCAACUGCUUUGCCAGUUGGCAAAGCCUGUCAUGCAGCUGAGGUCCAACAGGGAGCCAUGGGUUUUCGGGACCCUGCAGGAUGAGAAGUGCUGGGCACGGAAAUGUGGGAAUGUCGUUCUCUAGAGGUGAUGGCUGUGAUGGAGCCAUCCUGAGUAGCUCUGAUACCCCAUCCUGAGGUAUCAGGAUCAGACCUCAUUCAGUCAUUUCAGGAAGAGGAAACACAACAGUGUCCUCUGUAGCAGUGUCUGCUGGGCUCACAAGGGAUGAGGCGAUAAUAACGGUGUUAAUAACAGUGACAAUAGUUACCAUUUGUUGGGCAUUCACUCUGUUCUCAUGCUUCCUUGGCCACAAGGUUAGUCGUGUUGCAUAUAUUAUCUCAUUUAAAUCCUCACAAUAAUCUCAAUAUAUAGACAUGAAGUUCCCUAUUUUUUAGGUGAUGAUGAAACUGGGGAUCAGUUUCAGUGACUUGGCCAAAACUGCACAGCUAGUGAAAGCCCUAGGCCCCCAGAGGGUGAGUGAGGGUGAUGAGAUUUGAACUGGGGUCUGUCUGACUCCAAAGCCCAUCUUCUCAGACUCAAGGUGUCAUAUUCUCCUGCUUUAGAAAUCACCAUCACACUCUGGCCUCUGAAGACACACCCAGACUCUUAGAAAAUUGAAGCUUGGCUUCUUGGCUGCUGCUCCAUCCAUGACCCAGUGACUGGUAAACUCUGUCAUGGCAUCCACCCAGCCCAAGUUAUUUGCUUAGAGGCAAGGUCAGAAAUGUUUCAUUGAUUCAUCUAAAGUUGAGACUCAAUGACACCUGUCAGGGAGGCUCUGAAAGGCAGUCCCACUCUGGAUGGGAGGGGCCUUUGUUUCCAUCUCUUAGACUCUGUAGUUUUCAGUGGGAGAUGAUUUGUGGAAAUUGUUUACAAACAAAUGACAUCACCCAUGGACCUGACACUCCCACACCAGUGAUGUGUGUUGAGGCAACAAUCCCUGGAACUUGGUGGAGAGGUGAGGCGGGAAGGGAGAACUGCCUGACUCAG
ensembl:lncRNA